CGGGGGGCGUGCUUACACAUGCAAGUCGAACGGUGAACACGGAGCUUGCUCUGUGGGAUCAGUGGCGAACGGGUGAGUAACACGUGAGCAACCUGCCCCUGACUCUGGGAUAAGCGCUGGAAACGGCGUCUAAUACUGGAUACGAGUAGCGACCGCAUGGUCAGUUACUGGAAAGAUUUAUUGGUUGGGGAUGGGCUCGCGGCCUAUCAGCUUGUUGGUGAGGUAAUGGCUCACCAAGGCGUCGACGGGUAGCCGGCCUGAGAGGGUGACCGGCCACACUGGGACUGAGACACGGCCCAGACUCCUACGGGAGGCAGCAGUGGGGAAUAUUGCACAAUGGGCGCAAGCCUGAUGCAGCAACGCCGCGUGAGGGAUGACGGCCUUCGGGUUGUAAACCUCUUUUAGCAGGGAAGAAGCGAAAGUGACGGUACCUGCAGAAAAAGCGCCGGCUAACUACGUGCCAGCAGCCGCGGUAAUACGUACGGCGCAAGCGUUAUCCGGAAUUAUUGGGCGUAAAGAGCUCGUAGGCGGUUUGUCGCGUCUGCUGUGAAAUCCGGAGGCUCAACCUCCGGCCUGCAGUGGGUACGGGCAGACUAGAGUGCGGUAGGGGAGAUUGGAAUUCCUGGUGUAGCGGUGGAAUGCGCAGAUAUCAGGAGGAACACCGAUGGCGAAGGCAGAUCUCUGGGCCGUAACUGACGCUGAGGAGCGAAAGGGUGGGGAGCAAACAGGCUUAGAUACCCUGGUAGUCCACCCCGUAAACGUUGGGAACUAGUUGUGGGGUCCAUUCCACGGAUUCCGUG
rnacentral:rRNA from 1 species